UCCUGCCAGUGAUGUUUUUCUUUCCUACCUACAUUGUUUGACUUGCGGAGUGAGAAAAAAAAAAUCAACACUGAGGCAGA
ensembl:snoRNA SNORD34 Small nucleolar RNA SNORD34